rnacentral:rRNA from 1 species
AACGAACGCUGGUGGCAUGCCUAACACAUGCAAGUCGUACGUGAAAGUCCUUCGGGAUGAGUAGAGUGGCGCACGGGUGAGUAAUACAUAGGAACGUACCUAUAGGUGGGGAAUAACCGAGGGAAACUUCGGCUAAUACCGCAUGAUCUGGUAACAGUAAAGAUGGCCUCUAUACUAUGCUAUCGCCGAUAGAGCGGCCUAUGUCCCAUUAGCUAGUUGGUAGGGUAAUGGCCUACCAAGGCUACGAUGGGUAGCUGGUCUGAGAGGACGACCAGCCACACUGGAACUGAGACACGGUCCAGACUCCUACGGGAGGCAGCAGUAGGGAAUAUUGCACAAUGGGCGCAAGCCUGAUGCAGCAAUGCCGCGUGAGUGAAGAAGGCCUUCGGGUUGUAAAGCUCUUUCGGUGGGAAAGAAGAGUGCAACAGAUAAUACCUGUUGCAUUUGACGGUACCCAACUAAGAAGCACCGGCUAACUCCGUGCCAGCCGCCGCUGUAA